CCGGCGAUUUCCGAAUGGGGAAACCCAGUGUGAUUCGUCACACUAUCAUUAACUGAAUCCAUAGGUUAAUGAGGCGAACCGGGGGAACUGAAACAUCUAAGUACCCCGAGGAAAAGAAAUCAACCGAGAUUCCCCCAGUAGCGGCGAGCGAACGGGGAGGAGCCCAGAGCCUGAAUCAGUGUGUGUGUUAGUGGAAGCGUCUGGAAAGGCGUGCGAUACAGGGUGACAGCCCCGUACACAAAAAUGCACAUACUGUGAGCUCGAUGAGUAGGGCGGGACACGUGGUAUCCUGUCUGAAUAUGGGGGGACCAUCCUCCAAGGCUAAAUACUCCUGACUGACCGAUAGUGAACCAGUACCGUGAGGGAAAGGCGAAAAGAACCCCGGCGAGGGGAGUGAAAAAGAACCUGAAACCGUGUACGUACAAGCAGUGGGAGCCUCUUAAUGGGGUGACUGCGUACCUUUUGUAUAAUGGGUCAGCGACUUAUAUUCUGUAGCAAGGUUAACCGAAUAGGGGAGCCGAAGGGAAACCGAGUCUUAACUGGGCGUUAAGUUGCAGGGUAUAGACCCGAAACCCGGUGAUCUAGCCAUGGGCAGGUUGAAGGUUGGGUAACACUAACUGGAGGACCGAACCGACUAAUGUUGAAAAAUUAGCGGAUGACUUGUGGCUGGGGGUGAAAGGCCAAUCAAACCGGGAGAUAGCUGGUUCUCCCCGAAAGCUAUUUAGGUAGCGCCUCGUGAAUUCAUCUCCGGGGGUAGAGCACUGUUUCGGCAAGGGGGUCAUCCCGACUUACCAACCCGAUGCAAACUGCGAAUACCGGAGAAUGUUAUCACGGGAGACACACGGCGGGUGCUAACGUCCGUCGUGAAGAGGGAAACAACCCAGACCGCCAGCUAAGGUCCCAAAGUCAUGGUUAAGUGGGAAACGAUGUGGGAAGGCCCAGACAGCCAGGAUGUUGGCUUAGAAGCAGCCAUCAUUUAAAGAAAGCGUAAUAGCUCACUGGUCGAGUCGGCCUGCGCGGAAGAUGUAACGGGGCUAAACCAUGCACCGAAGCUGCGGCAGCGACACUAUGUGUUGUUGGGUAGGGGAGCGUUCUGUAAGCCUGUGAAGGUGUACUGUGAGGUAUGCUGGAGGUAUCAGAAGUGCGAAUGCUGACAUAAGUAACGAUAAAGCGGGUGAAAAGCCCGCUCGCCGGAAGACCAAGGGUUCCUGUCCAACGUUAAUCGGGGCAGGGUGAGUCGACCCCUAAGGCGAGGCCGAAAGGCGUAGUCGAUGGGAAACAGGUUAAUAUUCCUGUACUUGGUGUUACUGCGAAGGGGGGACGGAGAAGGCUAUGUUGGCCGGGCGACGGUUGUCCCGGUUUAAGCGUGUAGGCUGGUUUUCCAGGCAAAUCCGGAAAAUCAAGGCUGAGGCGUGAUGACGAGGCACUACGGUGCUGAAGCAACAAAUGCCCUGCUUCCAGGAAAAGCCUCUAAGCAUCAGGUAACAUCAAAUCGUACCCCAAACCGACACAGGUGGUCAGGUAGAGAAUACCAAGGCGCUUGAGAGAACUCGGGUGAAGGAACUAGGCAAAAUGGUGCCGUAACUUCGGGAGAAGGCACGCUGAUAUGUAGGUGAAGUCCCUCGCGGAUGGAGCUGAAAUCAGUCGAAGAUACCAGCUGGCUGCAACUGUUUAUUAAAAACACAGCACUGUGCAAACACGAAAGUGGACGUAUACGGUGUGACGCCUGCCCGGUGCCGGAAGGUUAAUUGAUGGGGUUAGCGGUAACGCGAAGCUCUUGAUCGAAGCCCCGGUAAACGGCGGCCGUAACUAUAACGGUCCUAAGGUAGCGAAAUUCCUUGUCGGGUAAGUUCCGACCUGCACGAAUGGCGUAAUGAUGGCCAGGCUGUCUCCACCCGAGACUCAGUGAAAUUGAACUCGCUGUGAAGAUGCAGUGUACCCGCGGCAAGACGGAAAGACCCCGUGAACCUUUACUAUAGCUUGACACUGAACAUUGAGCCUUGAUGUGUAGGAUAGGUGGGAGGCUUUGAAGUGUGGACGCCAGUCUGCAUGGAGCCGGCCUUGAAAUACCACCCUUUAAUGUUUGA
rnacentral:rRNA from 1 species